GCCAGACUCCUACGGGAGGCAGCAGUGGGGAAUAUUGGGCAAUGGGCGCAAGCCUGACCCAGCAACGCCGCGUGAAGGAAGAAGGCUUUCGGGUUGUAAACUUCUUUUCUUGGGGACGAAGAAAGUGACGGUACCCAAGGAAUAAGCCACGGCUAACUACGUGCCAGCAGCCGCGGUAAUACGUAGGUGGCAAGCGUUAUCCGGAUUUAUUGGGUGUAAAGGGCGUGUAGGCGGGAAUGCAAGUCAGAUGUGAAAACUAUGGGCUCAACCCAUAGCCUGCAUUUGAAACUGUAUUUCUUGAGUGCUGGAGAGGCAAUCGGAAUUCCGUGUGUAGCGGUGAAAUGCGUAGAUAUACGGAGGAACACCAGUGGCGAAGGCGGUCUGCUGGACAGCAACUGACGCUGAGGCGCGAAAGCGUGGGGAGCAAACAGGAUUAGAUACCCGAGUA
rnacentral:rRNA from 1 species